CACCUCCAGCAUCCCUAGUAUUGGAGGCAUUGCCUGCCCAGUGACAACUGUUUAACGGCCGCGGUAUCCUGACCGUGCAAAGGUAGCAUAAUCAUUUGUUCUCUAAAUAAGGACUUGUAUGAAUGGCCACACGAGGGUUUUACUGUCUCUUACUUCCAAUCCGUGAAAUUGACCUUCCCGUGAAGAGGCGGGAAUACACAAAUAAGACGAGAAGACCCUAUGGAGCUUUAACUAACCAGCCCAAAGAAAAUAAACUUAACCAUUAAGGAGUAACAAUAAUCUCCAUGAGUUGGUAGUUUCGGUUGGGGUGACCUCGGAGAAUAAAAAAUCCUCCGAACGAUUUUAAAGACUAGACCCACAAGUCAAAUCAUUCAAUCGCUCAUUGAUCCAAAAACUUGAUCAACGGAACAAGUUACCCUAGGGAUAACAGCGCAAUCCUAUUCAAGAGUCCAUAUCGACAAUAGGGCUUACGACCUCGAUGUUGGAUCAGGACAUCCUGAUGGUGCAACCGCUAUCAAAGGUUCGUUUGUUCAACGAUUAAAGUCCUA
rnacentral:rRNA from 1 species